GAUUAUUGCAUUUUCUAAAAAUAAGUAUUUAUAUUGCAAUAUAUCCAUCUGACAAUAUUAACAUAUCCUCUGUAGUCCUUUGCUUUCUUGCAACGAUACAUGUAAUUGACGUUCUACGGAAUGUCUUCGUAUUGAUUAUUGGCCACCAUACUAGAGUCUUAGAGAUUCCCAAUUGGUAACAGACUCAAUUCCACCAGGAAGAAUUUCAUAGUAAAACAAUUGGGAAGAACAUAAUUUUCUACUUGUCUUUUUAUUUUUUAGUUAAAAAAAAUCAUGGAUUGGUGAAUGGUGAUACUGGUGGUAUCUUGGAUGAACAACACGUGGUUUCUGUCAGGAAGAAUAUAA
rnacentral:misc_RNA from 1 species